rnacentral:rRNA from 1 species
AGACUCCUACGGGAGGCAGCAGUAGGGAAUCUUCCACAAUGGGCGAAAGCCUGAUGGAGCAACGCCGCGUGAGUGAAGAAGGUUUUCGGAUCGUAAAACUCUGUUGUAAGGGAAGAACAAGUACAGUAGUAACUGGCUGUACCUUGACGGUACCUUAUUAGAAAGCCACGGCUAACUACGUGCCAGCAGCCGCGGUAAUACGUAGGUGGCAAGCGUUGUCCGGAAUUAUUGGGCGUAAAGCGCGCGCAGGCGGUCCUUUAAGUCUGAUGUGAAAGCCCACGGCUCAACCGUGGAGGGUCAUUGGAAACUGGGGGACUUGAGUGCAGAAGAGGAAAGUGGAAUUCCAAGUGUAGCGGUGAAAUGCGUAGAGAUUUGGAGGAACACCAGUGGCGAAGGCGACUUUCUGGUCUGUAACUGACGCUGAGGCGCGAAAGCGUGGGGAGCAAACAGGAUUAGAUACCCUGGUAGUCCACGCCGUAAACGAUGAGUGCUAAGUGUUAGGGGGUUUCCGCCCCUUAGUGCUGCAGCUAACGCAUAAG